UACGUAGGGUGCAUGCGUUAUUCGGAAUUACUGGGCGUAAAGCGUGCGCAGGCGGUCUUUUAAGUCAGAUGUGAAAUCCCCGGGCUUAACCUGGGAACUGCGUUUGAAACUGGAAGGCUUGAGUGUGGCAGAGGGGGGUGGAAUUCCACGUGUAGCAGUGAAAUGCGUAGAGAUGUGGAGGAACACCGAUGGCGAAGGCAGCCCCCUGGGCUAACACUGACGCUCAUGCACGAAAGCGUGGGGAGCAAACAGG
rnacentral:rRNA from 1 species